ACCUCAAUUCCUUCCCCACGCAUGUAGCAAAAAUCUGAACCUUGCGUGCACGAACCCCAGACCUCCGUCCGCCUUGCGCCACGCCCGUGCUACUGGCCACUGUACCAUGCUUCCUUCACUACUAAUAUAUGGUCACAAUUAAUUAUAAACCUUACCUGCUUCAGUUCUGGCCCACUUUAAAAAUUAAACAAAAUUCGCCCACGUACGGACUCGAAC
rnacentral:lncRNA from 1 species